rnacentral:tRNA from 1 species
CGGGGUGUGGCUCAGCCUGGUUUAGAGCGCUUGGUUCGGGACCAAGAAGUNNUCCUCUCGCCCCGACCA